GUAACACAUACAAUUCGAGCGCCAUCGGAAAGUAGCUUGCUACUUGUCCGACGAGCGGCGGACGGGUGAGUAAUGUCUGGGAAACUGCCUGAUGGAGGGGGAUAACUACUGGAAACGGUAGCUAAUACCGCAUAACGUCGCAAGACCAAAGAGGGGGACCUUCGGGCCUCUUGCCAUCAGAUGUGCCCAGAUGGGAUUAGCUAGUAGGUGGGGUAACGGCUCACCUAGGCGACGAUCCCUAGCUGGUCUGAGAGGAUGACCAGCCACACUGGAUCUGAGACACUGUCCA
rnacentral:rRNA from 1 species